AUACGGAGGAUGCGAGUGUUAUCCGGAUUUAUUGGGUUUAAAGGGAGCGUAGGUGGGAUAUUAAGUCAGCUGUGAAAGUUUGGGGCUCAACCUUAAAAUUGCAGUUGAUACUGGUUUCCUUGAGUACGGUACAGGUGGGCGGAAUUCGUGGUGUAGCGGUGAAAUGCUUAGAUAUCACGAAGAACUCCGAUCGCGAAGGCAGCUCACCGGGCCGGAACUGACACUGAUGCUCGAAAGUGCGGGUAUCAAACAGGAUUAGAUACCCUGGUAGUCCGCACAGUAAACGAUGAAUACUCGCUGUUUGCGAUACACGGUAAGCGGCCAAGCGAAAGCGUUAAGUAUUCCACCUGGGGAGUACGCCGGCAACGGUGAAACUCAAAUGAAUUGACGGGG
rnacentral:rRNA from 1 species